CCAAGGUCACUCCGUAUCUUUCAUUUGUAUAACAGUGUUUGCUGCUGCCAGUAUUUCCAUAUCAACAGCAAUGCGCAAGACAGCACGCCGACUGAAAACUGCAGGUGCUUAACUUCAGUCAUCCCUAGCAGUUGGCUUUAUAAAAUCACUCAAGAGCCGGGCACUCCCGCUUUUUCAUGUAGCAUUCCUGCCCAGUGCUAAAAAACAUUAAACAGAAAUAGACAGGAAUGCAGCUUGUCUGUGAAUUUUGUGUCUCUAUGGAAACCGACUCCACAAAACAUUGCACCGCCCUCCAGAUGCAGGGAAAGACAAAUGAGACCAUUUCCCCAAAGAUCCUUGAACAUUGAGGAACUGGGACUGGUGGGUUCAAACCAGAACUCCCUCAGACCACUGAGGAAUUCAUAUCUGAGAUAAAUCUCUUACAGCUGUGGGGAGAUUAUGGUGAUCAAAGGUACACUUUGUUUCUGUUUUUCUUGAAGGUCAACACAGUCUACUGCUCCUAUGUGCCUUGCUGAUGUGCAGGAAGACUGUGGUGAAGUGGAGACACGAAAUAGCUAUGUAAGGAUAAUUGGAAAUUAGAAGAAUGUUCUGUAGUAGUAAUUGAUUGCAGCUUGCGUCGCUUUACAAAAGCCAGACUGUUAAGCGUUGUUGAUGGCACCGGUCACGAGGUUCAGGUAGAACGGAGUGAUGUCUGGGCUUUUUAAGGGUGUGGUACAAAAUUGCUGGUUUGUCAAAAGAAAAUGAACUCAGUGGGUGAAAGAGUGUCGAGUCUCUGAAUGAGACUGGAGAUCCAACCUGUUGAGUCAUUAUUAAAGUAGAGAUUUUAAAAGUGCAAAGUGCAGCGUUAUUGACAUUUGCUGGAGAAGGUGAACGGACAUUCUUGGGCAUGAUGGAGGACAAUCCUUCUCAUCCUGACGUUUGGUCCUGAAAACCCUCUGGGCAGCUUUUUCUUCCAAAGUCCCUCCAUGUUUUCCUGCCGUGAUGUGAAAUAAUCGACGUUGAGGGAGGCAUCAUCAGAUAGCCAAUCUGAAGGAAGCACGACAGCCUGAGAUGUGCUGUGAGUUAUCGCCUCCUUCUUGAUUUGCCUUAAUAGUACAAAACAAGUAAAACUGAAGUCAUUAAUAUUUAUAUAACUUACAUAAACCUGCUAAUUCAGGAUUUUGCCAUGACGAAACCUUGGUCUACUAGUGAAUAAGUAUUGGACGAAUUUUAGAUAUGGUAUGACGAUACGGAAUGAAGCAGAGGCCAAUAUAUUGUUGGGAUGAGGAAGGCUGCAUUCACUCCUCCCCUCAAAUGUCUCUCGUCAUGUUUGCUUUGUGACAUCCCUGUGUUUCCGCUCAGAGGAGGAUCUAUCAGUCGGUUUGGCCCGGUAUGCCUUUCUUCAGAGGACAUGCUGAAGUUUGGCCAAGCUUGAUCCUCAGACACUGAGCAGUUACGCACAUGGAGCCCCCAUGACGCCUACCCUUUGUGGCCCUGUGCUUCAUCUCAUCCUCAACGGUCUUCACAAUGUGCAAUCACUUGAAUCCCUUGAAGGCCAAUCUCUGCCCCUCCCCCGGGCACAAAGACUAGAUGAAAACCUUCUUGGUGCCUUCAGGAGUCAACUGGACUGCAUUUAACUAGCCUGCGUCCAGUGCUUACAUCUGUCUUUGCAAUUCAGCUUCUGGCUUGGCAGGAUCAUCGUCCGACAAGAUGGAAGAAGACUGAAACGUGAAUUAAAUCCGAUUCCAUUUGUCUGUAAUGGCAAAACCA